GUUAUUCUUUAAAAAAUUACCAGUGUCCAAGACCUUGUUGAAGAAUAAAUCAAAUCCAGAGUGACAUUCAAUUUUAUGCUGCUUGUCGAGAAUAAUCAUAGACUUUAGAUCGAAAAACGUCAACAAUAGUCGAAUGAACCGAAUGGUGAAAAAAUGAUUUGGUUUAUUUUCGCUUAGCAAUCGUCGGGAUUAUUAUUUAAUUUUGUUCGGACACUAAUUCACCUGGGACAAUUUAUUUCCCAGUCAAUGAUUCUAAAAUAGACUAUUAUUAUUGAGUAUGCGGUUUAUUAGAAUCAAUUUCCAGCGCAAGAUAAUUUUACUGUCUAUAUACACUGGCAGACAAACCAUCAGGAACAUUUAAUCAGAGCGACUUUGACAGCACCCGGCAAAGUUUUCAUGAAUUCGAUGUGUAUACAGGUGCAACAUCUGCACCAGCAACACUGAAUUCCACCAGA